rnacentral:rRNA from 1 species
AUUCCAGCUCCAAUAGCGUAUAUUAAAGUUGUUGCAGUUAAAAAGCUCGUAGUUGGAUUUCUGGUAGGAGCGACCGUGCCGAACUUGAUUGUUCGUGUAUUGUGUUGUCUUCAGCCAUCCUCGUGGAGAACUUUUCUAACAUUAACUUGUUGGGAUUGGGACCCGCGUCGUUUACUGUGAAAAAAUUAGAGUGUUUAAAGCAGGCAUUAGCUUGAAUACAUUAGCAUGGAAUAAUAAGAUAGGACUUUGGUACUAUUUUGUUGGUUUGCAUACCAAAUUAAUGAUCAAUAGGGCCAGUUGGGGGCAUUAGUAUUCAGUAGUCAGAGGUGAAAUUCUUGGAUUUACUGAAGACUAGCUAGUGCGAAAGCAUUUGCCAAGAAUGUUUUCAUCG